rnacentral:misc_RNA from 1 species
AAUACCAGUUUGUGUUGAAAUCUUGUUGCCUGUAAGGAGGGAAGCGUGAGAUACGAUUUUAUUUUUUAUGUUACUUGAAAAAUUAAUAAUAAGAGAUAUAAUAAUGAAAAUUUAACAAUUACCAAAGACCACGAUUGUGAAGCCAAUCACAAAUACACGUUUGAGCACAUUGCCAACUGCAUGGGUAAGAGGGGCAACCCUUUCCAAA